CCUACGGGUGGCAGCAGUGGGGAAUAUUGGACAAUGGACCAAGAGUCUGAUCCAGCAAUUCUGUGUGCACGAUGACGUUUUUCGGAAUGUAAAGUGCUUUCAGUUGGGAAGAAAAAAAUGACGGUACCAACAGAAGAAGUGACGGCUAAAUACGUGCCAGCAGCCGCGGUAAUACGUAUGUCACGAGCGUUAUCCGGAUUUAUUGGGCGUAAAGCGCGUCUAGGUGGUUAUGUAAGUCUGAUGUGAAAAUGCAGGGCUCAACUCUGUAUUGCGUUGGAAACUGUGUAACUAGAGUACUGGAGAGGUAAGCGGAACUACAAGUGUAGAGGUGAAAUUCGUAGAUAUUUGUAGGAAUGCCGAUGGGGAAGCCAGCUUACUGGACAGAUACUGACGCUGAAGCGCGAAAGCGUGGGUAGCAAACAGGAUUAGAUACCCGGGUAGUC
rnacentral:rRNA from 1 species